rnacentral:piRNA from 1 species
UGGGAUUAAAGGUGUGGCUACAAGUUGU